CAUCUUCAAUUGAUAAUGUGUAUAGCUUUCUAAUCUAUAUACACAAAAACAGGAAAGUGUCCAAUCAUCAAUAAGUAUGAACUUUCAGAUAACUAUACAAAUUCUAUACCAAAUCAAUAGAAUCAAAAUUCUCACUUUCUGUUCAGGUCAUUAAAAAAUAACUAAGGGAAAAAAAAUGCUAGGGUUAGUAAGAACUACUCACGCCUUCUUCUUGCCUCCCUUCUUUCCCUUUGAUAUCCGCUUGUUCUUCCCAACGGCCAUGUUCUCAGAGCAGCUGCAACUAGAGUUUGGCUGCCGUUGAGAAGAUAGAGUUGAACUAAGCAGAACU
rnacentral:misc_RNA from 1 species